GUAUGUGCAGCUGAUGACAGCAUCGCUGCUGAGACUCGAUGAUGGCUCAGCCUUAAAGUAAACGCUCUGAUGCACAUCAC
rnacentral:snoRNA from 10 species